rnacentral:rRNA from 1 species
AGUGAACGCUGGCGGCGUGCCUAAUACAUGCAAGUCGAACGGAGUGGCGCGCGGGUGAGUAAUGUAUAGCUAAUCUGCCCUCCACUCGACGACAACAGUUGGAAACGACUGCUAAUACUCUAUAGUGUAGGAUGAGGCUAUAUUGUAUCAGCUAGUUGGUGAGGUAAAGGAUCACCAAGGCUAUGACGGAUAACUGGUCUGAGAGGAUGAUCAGUAACACUGGAACUGAGACACGGUUCGGACUCCUAGGGGAGGCAGCAGUAGGGAAUAGUGCUCAAUGGGGGGAACCCUGAAGGAGCAACGCCGCGUGGAGGAUGACACUUUGCGGAGCGUAAACUCCUUUUGUUAGGGAAGCGGUACCUAACGAAUAAGCACCGGCUAACUCCGUGCCAGCAGCCGCGGUAAUAC